rnacentral:rRNA from 1 species
GGCGAACGGGUGAGUAAGACAUAGGUAACCUGGCUUUAAGAGGGGGAUAACCACUGGAAACGGUGGAUAAUACCGCAUGGAUAUGAAUGAGGCAUCUUAUUGAUAUAAAAGGAGCUAAGGCUUCGCUUAAAGAUGGGCCUAUGACGCAUUAGCUAGUUGGAGAGGUAAAAGCUGACCAAGGCGACGAUGCGUAGCCGGACUGAGAGGUUGAACGGCCACACUGGGACUGAGACACGGCCCAG